UAUGUAUAGUAGGCAAUAAGCGGUAGGAGGCAGUAGCAACAGGAGAAAACUUAGCAUGGUCUUGUCCAAUACCUAAGAUUGCAUGAGCUUCUAAAUCGAUUUCCUGGCCAGGACGCAAUUUUGCAACAACAAUAUCUGGGUUGACUACUCGUAUAGGAUUGUCAGCAAAUCGCUCUUCCUGUCGACCUUGCGGUUUCCAAAUUAGAUCACCCGAAUAAACCUCAGAGUUAACG